rnacentral:rRNA from 1 species
UACGAAGGGUGCAAGCGUUACUCGGAAUUACUGGGCGUAAAGCGUGCGUAGGUGGUUCGUUAAGUCUGAUGUGAAAGCCCUGGGCUCAACCUGGGAAUGGCAUUGGAAACUGGCGACCUAGAGUGCGGUAGAGGGUAGUGGAAUUCCCGGUGUAGCAGUGAAAUGCGUAGAGAUCGGGAGGAACAUCCGUGGCGAAGGCGACUACCUGGACCAGCACUGACGCUGAGGCACGAAAGCGUGGGGAGCAAACAGG